UGCUAGGUCCCAUACGAUUGACUCGUUACUGAAUCCGCUAGGUCCGGAAGGAAGCAACGGCGUUUAACGAGCUUUGCGAUAUGGGGUGCCUAGCACUU
rnacentral:SRP_RNA from 1 species